UUUAAGAUUUGACCUGCCCAAUGAAAGUUAAAUGGCCGCAGUAAUUUGACUGUGCAAAGGUAGCAUAAUCAUUAGUUUUUUAAUUGAAAGCUUGUAUGAAUGGUUGGACGAGAAAAUGACUGUCUCAAUUUAAAUGUAAUAGAAUUUUAUUUUUAAGUUAAAAAGCUUAAAUAGCAUUAAAAGACGAGAAGACCCUAUAGAGUUUAAUAUAUUAAUAAAUAUAAAUUUUUAAGGAGUUAUUAUAUUUUUAUUUAUAUAUGUAUUUUGUUGGGGUGAUAAUAAAAUUAGAUUAACUUUUAUUAGUUAAUAACAUUAAUAUAUGAGUAUUGGAUCCAUUUUUUAUGAUUAAAAGAUUAAAUUACCUUAGGGAUAACAGCGUUAUUUUUUUUGAGAGUUCUAAUCAAUAAAAGAGUUUGCGACCUCGAUGUUGGAUUAAAAUUAACUUUUGGUGCAGUAGCUAAAAAAGUUAGGUCUGUUCGACCUUUAAAAUUUUACAUGAUCUGAGUUCAAACCGG
rnacentral:rRNA from 1 species